ensembl:snoRNA
AGCACUCAGAGUGCCUAUCUGUUCAACUGGUGGACAAAGGCAUGAAAGACAGGUGCCAGAACCCUCUUUCACAGCCAGAACUCAUUGUUUAGUAUGAGUUUUGAUGCAUACAAGAAGGAAUGUG